UGGGGAAUAUUGGACAAUGGGCGAAAGCCUGAUCCAGCCAUGCCGCGUGUGUGAAGAAGGUCUUCGGAUUGUAAAGCACUUUAAGUUGGGAGGAAGGGCAGUAAGCUAAUACCUUGCUGUUUUGACGUUACCGACAGAAUAAGCACCGGCUAACUCUGUGCCAGCAGCCGCGGUAAUACAGAGGGUGCAAGCGUUAAUCGGAAUUACUGGGCGUAAAGCGCGCGUAGGUGGUUUGUUAAGUUGGAUGUGAAAGCCCCGGGCUCAACCUGGGAACUGCAUCCAAAACUGGCAAGCUAGAGUACGGUAGAGGGUGGUGGAAUUUCCUGUGUAGCGGUGAAAUGCGUAGAUAUAGGAAGGAACACCAGUGGCGAAGGCGACCACCUGGACUGAUACUGACACUGAGGUGCGAAAGCGUGGGGAGCAAACAGGAUUAGAUACCCAAGUAGUCCCUGAGCGGGCUGGCAAGGCGCAU
rnacentral:rRNA from 1 species